GGUUUCCUAUUGGGUUUAGGGUUUUGGGUUUAGUAUUCAGGGCAUUGGAUUUUUUGCAAAAUUAACAAGAUACAUAACUGUAUAAGAAAUCAGUUUUGUAGAUAAUUUAUUUACACUUACGUGGAGGUAUAGGGGUAGGGUUGGGAAUAAGUGUGUUGGUAUAAGGAUUAAGAUAACCACACCAAAAAAUACUACACCCGAAACCCUUAAUAAUAAACGCUUAACCCAAACAAUAAAUCUAAUGCCAUGAACCCUAAACCCAAUAGGCACCCCGGAACCCAACCCUAGUGACUAAACCAUAAACAAUAAACCUAAAAUACUAAACCCUAAAUCCAAAAUACUAAACCCAAUAGGAACCCGAGACCCAAAACCUAAUGUCUAAUCCCUAUUGUAUUUACGGUUUAGUCUUUCGGGUUUAGGGUUUAGGGAUUAGACAUUAGGGUUUGGCUUCAGGGGUUCUUAUUGGUUUUAGGAUUUAGUAUUUUGGGUUUAGGGUUUAUGGUUUAGUGACUCUGGUUUAGAUUCCGGGGUUACUAUUGGGUUUAGGGUUUAGGGUUUAGUGACUAUGAUUUGGGUUUCGGGCUUCCUAUUGGGUUUAGGGUUUAGUAUUUUGGGUUUAGGGUUUAGUAUUCAGGGCAUUGGAUUUUUUGCUAACCU
rnacentral:lncRNA from 1 species